rnacentral:rRNA from 1 species
AUACGGAGGACGCGAGCGUUAUCCGGAUUCAUUGGGUUUAAAGGGUGCGCAGGCGGGAGAUUAAGUCGGCGGUGAAAUUUUGCAGCUCAACUGUAAAAGUGCCUUCGAAACUGGUUUCCUUGAGUGUAGAUGAAGUAGGCGGAAUUUGUGGUGUAGCGGUGAAAUGCAUAGAUAUCACGAGGAACUCCGAUUGCGCAGGCAGCUUACUAAACUACUACUGACGCUCAGGCACGAAGGCGUGGGGAUCAAACAGGAUUAGAUACCCCGGUAGUCCACGCAGUAAACGAUGAUUACUAGCUGUUUGCGAUACAAUGUAAGCGGCUGAGCGAAAGCGUUAAGUAAUCCACCUGGGGAGUACGUUCGCAAGAAUGAAACUCAAAGGAAUUGACGGGG